UAGCGGAGGAAAAGAAACCAACAGGGAUUGCCUCAGUAACGGCGAGUGAAGCGGCAAAAGCUCAAAUUUGAAAUCUAGCACCUUCGGUGUUCGAGUUGUAAUUUGAAGAUGGUAACCUUGGGUUUGGCUCUUGUCUAUGUUCCUUGGAACAGGACGUCAUAGAGGGUGAGAAUCCCGUCUGAUGAGAUGCCCAUUCCUAUGUAAGGUGCUAUCGAAGAGUCGAGUUGUUUGGGAAUGCAGCUCUAAGUGGGUGGUAAAUUCCAUCUAAAGCUAAAUAUUGGCGAGAGACCGAUAGCGAACAAGUACAGUGAUGGAAAGAUGAAAAGAACUUUGAAAAGAGAGUGAAAAAGUACGUGAAAUUGUUGAAAGGGAAGGGCAUUAGAUCAGACUUGGUGUUUUACGAUUAUCUUCUCUUCUUGAGUUGUGCACUCGUAUUUCACUGGGCCAGCAUCGAUUCGGAUGGCAAGAUAAUGGCAGUUGAAUGUGGCUUCACUUCGGUGGAGUGUUAUAGCUUCUGCUGAUAUUGCCUGUCUGGAUCGAGGGCUGCGUCUUUUGACUAGGAUGCUGGCGUAAUGAUCUAAUGCCGCCCGUCUU
rnacentral:rRNA from 1 species